UACGUAGGGGGCGAGCGUUGUCCGGAUUUAUUGGGCGUAAAGAGCGUGUAGGCGGCCUGGUAGGUCUGGUGUGAAAACUCGAGGCUCAACCUCGAGACGUCGGCGGAAACCAUCUGGCUAGAGUCCGGAAGAGGAGAGUGGAAUUCCUGGUGUAGCGGUGAAAUGCGCAGAUAUCAGGAAGAACACCCGUGGCGAAGGCGGCUCUCUGGGACGGUACUGACGCUGAGACGCGAAAGCGUGGGGAGCGAACAGG
rnacentral:rRNA from 1 species